rnacentral:piRNA from 1 species
UGGCACAAAUAUUUGGAAUCUGUGAGUAAA